rnacentral:rRNA from 1 species
GACGAACGCUGGCGGCGUGCUUAACACAUGCAAGUCACGGGGGUCUCGCAAGAGAGAACCGGCGAACGGGUGCGUAACACGUGAACAACCUGCCGUUGUGCGGGGGAUAGCCGGGCUAACGCCCGGGUAAUACCGCAUACGCUGCUCGAGGGGAGUCCCUUGGGGAGGAAAGCCAUGGCGCAAGCGAUGGCGCACGACGAGGGGUUCGCGGCCUAUCAGCUAGUUGGGGGGUCGACG